GAUGAACGCUGACAGAAUGCUUAACACAUGCAAGUCAACUGUGGCGGACGGGUGAGUAACGCGUAAAGAACUUGCCUCACAGCUAGGGACAACAUUUGGAAACGAAUGCUAAUACCUGAUACUGUGAGAGAGCUUUGCGUCCCAUGAGCUAGUUGGAGAGGUAACGGCUCACCAAGGCGAUGAUGGGUAGCCGGCCUGAGAGGGUGAUCGGCCACAAGGGGACUGAGACACAGCCCUUGCUGCAGCGGGAGGCAGCAGUGGGUGAUAUUGGACAAGGGACCAAAGUCUGAUCCAGCAAUUCUGUGUGCACGAUGAAGUUUUCGGAAUGUAAAGUGCUUUCAGUUGGGAAGCGGUACCAACAGAAGAAGUGACGGCUAAAUACGUGCCAGCAGCCGCGGUAAUUC
rnacentral:rRNA from 1 species